rnacentral:rRNA from 1 species
AUGUACAUUCAUACAUUAUAGUGUUAAUGCACUGAAUCCCAUUAGAAUUUCGUAGUUAAGCAUGCUUGGGCUAGAGUAGUACAGGGAUGAGUGACAACCUAGGAAUUCCUAGUGUUUUACAUG